GAUAGUUUAACGGAAACGCAGGUGAUAUGAGGGCAGGGUCCAGACAUGUUCAGUAGGUGGGAGUGAGAGGUGUUAUGGGUGGAGGACAAUUUUUAUUAUAUUUCAUCUAAUAGCAAUAGGAUAUGAGAGGUGAAAAAGCAAAAGCAAUAGUGCAUUGUGAUGUGGAGAAUAAGGUGCAUACGAUGAAAAAGGUGAUUUGUCAUUUACAAGAGGUAGGUCGAAACAGAACAUGAAAGUUGGUCGGUAGGUGGCAUGCAGAGGUAGUUUCAAGGUGACAGGUUAUGAAGAUAUGGUGCAAAAGACAAAUGGAUGGUGGCAGGCAUAGUAAAAUGAUGGUGUGGAAGACAUAGAUGGUAUUUGUUUUGCAUUUACGGCACCGGAUGCGGGCGAUAAUGACGGGAAGAGAUUUAGUAUGUGGGACAGAAUUUCGGCGGCAGUAUUGAGACCAUGAGAGUAGCAAACGUAAGUCUAAAGGUUGUUUUAUAGUAGUUAGGAUGUAGGAAAUGUAUUCCGAUAGGCCAUUUUACAUUUGGAGGGACGGUUGAAAGUGGACAGAGGAAAAGGUGCGGAAAUGGCUGAUUUUGAUUGUUUAUGUCUUGUGUGAUAAUUUUACAUUUCUGCAUAGUAUUAGGUAGUUAGAUGAAAGAUGAAUAGACAUAGGAGUAAGAAAACAUAGAAUAGUUACCAUUAUUGGUAGGAGUGUGGUGGGGUGGUAUAGUCCGCAUUGGGAUGUUACUUUCCUGUUAUGGCAUGGAUUUCCCUUUAGGGUCUCUGAAGCGUAUUUCCGUCACCGAAAAAGGCAGAAAAAGGGAAACUGAAGGGAGGAUAGUAGUAAAGUUUGAAUGGUGGUAGUGUAAUGUAUGAUAUCCGUUGGUUUUGGUCUCGGUUGUGAAAAGUUUUUUGGUAUGAUAUUUUGCAGGUAGCAUAUAUUUCUUGUGUGAGAAAGGUAUAUUUUGUAUGUUCCCGCGCGUUUCCGUAUUUUCCGCUUCCGUAUUUUCCGCUUCCGUAUUUUCCGCUUCCGCUUCCGCAGUAAAAAAAAGUGAGGAACUGGGUUACCCGGGGCACCUGUCACUUUGGAAAAAAAAAAAGAAAAAAAUAUACGCUAAGAUUUUUGGAGAAUAGCUUAAAUUGAAGUUUUUCUCGGCAAGAAAUACGUAGUUAAGGCAGAGCGACAGAGAGGGCAAAAGAAAAUAAAAGUAAGAUUUUAGUUUGUAAUGGGAGGGGGGGUUUAGUCAUGGAGUACAAGUGUGAGGAAAAGUAGUUGGGAGGUACUUC
rnacentral:rRNA from 1 species